ACUAUCUUUGUACCUCUUCGUUGUGCUCACUUUUUUGGCAGCUCCUUAGCGACUGGGGGUGACUAGCUAACUUCACUCCACCUGCCAUACACAACCAGCUUGAGGGUUGUAGUAGCUAGCAAAGCAAUAUCAUUAGUCAGAGAUGUGUGUUUAGAAAACAGUUGCCAAAAAAAAACUGUUCAUCUCUAAAGAACUUCUCCCAUCUUCCUCCUCCAGAUCUAACAAUAAUGCAGUUAAACACAGAAAUAUGUUUUUUAAAAGCUAAAGUUGGGGUCCCGUUUCACUGGGACUUUAAGACUAUCGUGCACCUACUUCUUUAUUGUGCUCAGUCUUUUGGCAGCUCCUCAAAUAGUUUCAAGACAGACUUUAUCAUUAUUUCUUAUCCCAAAUGAGUUCUUUCAUAAAGCUUUGAAUUAAUCUCCUGAUAUUGGCUUGUUUACCAGCUGCUUGUGAUGGAAUCUCAUGGCACUGUCCCAACUGCUUUUUUAUUAGGAGGAAGCCAGGGCUGUUAGGUGCCGGUGCAAUUGCCAGUAAGCCAGUGAAGAGUCUUAACUUGUUAAAUGGGGCGAUGCCGUGACCAUCAAUUCAGCCACCCACUUUGCCUUUAUGCUCUGCUAAUGUAUUGGCACUGUCAGUGCUAGGAUAGGAGUUAAUACUGAGCGGGAAGACAGCUGCUUCCUGUCAAGCCCAGAUUUGUACAUCUUAAUACAGUUUGAUAAGCAAGUUUAAACUGAGAGCUGAGCCGGUUUCUAACCCUGGAUGGUCAUUUGAGGAUGUCAGUUAUGAAAGCCACCUGAUAGCUAGCCCCCGGAGCCCUUCCUCUUCCGUUUACCCGCUCUCCUAAUCCGCCGCUAAUGGUUAGCAAUGGAGGCCCAGAGGAAGAUUCAACCGUUGGUGUGUGGAAAUCCCUGCUGGAGUGGGAGUGUCGCGCUUGAGGAAGUACUCAGUGAAGCGCGCCAGAGACAGCGACGGGACCCUCAUGCCAUGUGCACCAAAACGCUCAAGCUUACAGUAUGGGAUGCCACACAGCAGCAGCAGCAAGAGCACAUGUCGGAGGGGGAAAAUGCUUGGCUGCAGUGCCCUCUUGUGGCAGCUGGUGGAACUUGUGUUCUGGAAACUUUGGAGAAGUCCUCAAAGAGAGCAGCUCCAAGGAGUGUCUGAAGUUGAGCUCAGCAGGAAGACUAAUAAAAGAAAUGUCAUUAUCUCUACUUUUGUGCUCCGCUAAGACACAGAAACGUAUAUUUUUGUACAUCUCUUUUGGAGUAUAUUAACAGAGCUUCACCGUGAUGCUAACAUAGGAAGAAGCAGCAGAACUACCAAGAGGGGAGUGUUCUGGUCAAGUUUAAAGUGUUGAAGUCACUCUCUCAGAGCCAAAGCCUUGUUUGGAUUCCUUUGUCCACCGCCUGCCCA
rnacentral:lncRNA from 1 species